CCUUAAGUCUUCACAUGCAAAAGCCUCGAUUUCGCGGUAAGGGUUUAGAGAUCUAGGAGAUUUGAGCGUGGUUUAAGAAAUUUUAGGUUCAGAUUCGACCUCGGAAGGGCGUGUUUAGUAAGCUAGGUGGUGUUUUGGGGUAGGGUUACCGGAGAAGGACGGAGGCUCCUCCGUGAGCCGCCGCCUUCGGUCGUCUUCUCCAAGAGAGACGAGUUUUUAGGGUUUCUGCAAAGCUCCUUCUGAGCGUAAGUUUGAAGAGAGAGAAAG
rnacentral:lncRNA from 1 species